rnacentral:rRNA from 1 species
GACGAACGCUGGCGGCGUGCUUAACACAUGCAAGUCGAACGGAAAGGCCCUGCUUUUGUGGGGUGCUCGAGUGGCGAACGGGUGAGUAACACGUGAGUAACCUGCCCUUGACUUUGGGAUAACUUCAGGAAACUGGGGCUAAUACCGGAUAGGAGCUCCUGCUGCAUGGUGGGGGUUGGAAAGUUUCGGCGGUUGGGGAUGGACUCGCGGCUUAUCAGCUUGUUGGUGGGGUAGUGGCUUACCAAGGCUUUGACGGGUAGCCGGCCUGAGAGGGUGACCGGCCACAUUGGGACUGAGAUACGGCCCAGACUCCUACGGGAGGCAGCAGUGGGGAAUAUUGCACAAUGGGCGGAAGCCUGAUGCAGCAACGCCGCGUGCGGGAUGACGGCCUUCGGGUUGUAAACCGCUUUCGCCUGUGACGAAGCGUGAGUGACGGUAAUGGGUAAAGAAGCACCGGCUAACUACGUGCCAGCAGCCGCGGUGAUAUGUAGGGUGCGAGCGUUGUCCGGAUUUAUUGGGCGUAAAGGGCUCGUAGGUGGUUGAUCGCGUCGGAAGUGUAAUCUUGGGGCUUAACCCUGAGCGUGCUUUCGAUACGGGUUGACUUGAGGAAGGUAGGGGAGAAUGGAAUUCCUGGUGGAGCGGUGGAAUGCGCAGAUAUCAGGAGGAACACCAGUGGCGAAGGCGGUUCUCUGGGCCUUUCCUGACGCUGAGGAGCGAAAGCGUGGGGAGCGAACAGGCUUAGAUACCCUGGUAGUCCACGCUGUAAACGGUGGGUACUAGGUGUGGGGUCCAUUCCACGGGUUCCGUGCCGUAGCUAACGCUUUAAGUACCCCGCCUGGGGAGUACGGCCGCAAGGCUAAAACUCAAAGGAAUUGACGGGGCCCCGCACAAGCGGCGGAGCAUGCGGAUUAAUUCGAUGCAACGCGUAGAACCUUACCUGGGUUUGACAUGGAUCGGGAGUGCUCAGAGAUGGGUGUGCCUCUUUUGGGGUCGGUUCACAGGUGGUGCAUGGCUGUCGUCAGCUCGUGUCGUGAGAUGUUGGGUUAAGUCCCGCAACGAGCGCAACCCUUGUUCACUGUUGCCAGCACGUUAUGGUGGGGACUCAGUGGAGACCGCCGGGGUCAACUCGGAGGAAGGUGGGGAUGACGUCAAGUCAUCAUGCCCCCUAUGUCCAGGGCUUCACGCAUGCUACAAUGGCUGGUACAGAGAGUGGCGAGCCUGUGAGGGUGAGCGAAUCCCGGAAAGCCGGUCUCAGUUCGGAUUGGGGUCUGCAACUCGACCUCAUGAAGUCGGAGUCGCUAGUAAUCGCAGAUCAGCAACGCUGCGGUGAAUACGUUCCCGGGGCU